AUACGGUUGCCGUCUCCACGACAAAUCGGGAGCCCCUCGUCCUUUUACCAGUUUCGGAGCUCUAGGCUCUCCUACCCCCGCUCUUUGCCCUUUGGCCGGCGGCCAUGGAAGGAGACGACGAGAACCCUCCACUCGCAGUCCGAAUCGAAGAAGUAAACGAAGAUGGCGUGUCGGAAUCUUUCUCACAAUCCGAGAUUCUCGAGGGAACCGCAGGACAAUCUCCGGUCGGAGUCACCGUCAUCACCGGUUAUCUCGGCGCCGGCAAAUCUACGUUAGUUAACUACAUCUUGAACGCCCAACAUGGGAAGAGGAUUGCAGUGAUACUGAAUGAGUUUGGGGAGGAGAUUGGAGUUGAGAGGGCGAUGAUCAAUGAGGGGGAUGGUGGUGCGCUUGUCGAGGAGUGGGUGGAGUUGGCAAAUGGAUGUGUUUGUUGCACCGUCAAACACAGCCUUGUUCAAGCACUGGAGCAGCUUGUACAGCGAAAAGAGAGACUUGAUAAUAUACUGCUAGAGACCACCGGGCUGGCCGAUCCUGCUCCCCUUGCCUCUGUUCUUUGGCUGGAUGAUCAGCUGGAGUCGGCAGUGAGACUUGACUCUAUUAUUACUGUUGCGGAUGCCAAGAACCUAAAGCUGCAGCUUGAUGAAUAUCGUGAUUAUGCUUCAUUUCCUGAAGCUUUUCUUCAAAUUGCUUUUGCGGAUGUUGUAAUUCUAAACAAAAUUGACUUGAUCCCUCAUGAGGACAGUGAACCUGGCACCUCAGAUGCUUUAGAGGACCUGGAAAAGGAGAUUCAUAACAUUAAUUCCCUUGCUACUGUCAUUCGAUCUUUGCGUUGCCAGGUUGACCUAUGCAAAAUAUUAAAUCGCCAGGCCUAUGGUGCUCAGAAUCUUGCUCAUUUAGAAGAACUGCUGGAAGAGCAUAAAUCCAUACCUUCUACGAGCCGUCAUGACUAUAGUGUGCGCACUUUUUGCAUAAAUGAACGGCAGCCAGUUGAUUUGACUAAGCUUCGCUUAUGGGUUGAGGAUCUUCUGUGGGAGAAAAAAUCUAAUAUGGAUUUGUACCGCUGUAAAGGGGUGUUAAAUGUCCAUGGCUCUGAUCAACUUCAUACCUUACAGGCUGUGAGAGAAAUAUACGAGAUUGUACCUGCUCGCAAAUGGCAACAAAAGGAGAAAAAAACAAACAGAAUAGUUUUCAUAGGAAAAGCUCAACACUGGCUCUGCUAUAAAAUUUGUGUUAAACUAAAGUUUGCGUAUACUUCUCACUAACCUCUUUGGUUGCAUUUCACAUUGUUACAGGUCGUAAUCUGGAUGUGGACAUUCUUGGUGAUUCUCUCAGAGCUUGCGUAGUACUGACUUAAUUAUGUUUACUCCUCAUACACCUUAAUAAUAAGGCUUUGUGUAGUCACACUGCUGCCUUCUAUCAGCCAAGCUGUAGAAAGAAUCACCAGCUCCAACCGAAAUGGAUGGACACACUGCAAAAACCUGAAAACAACAAAACAAAAUGAAUGAUGAAGGGUAAUCGAAUUUUGUCAGAAUCCAUGGCAACUAUGAUGGAAGCUGGUUGUCGGAUCCAAGAAAACAGAUGCCUUGAUUUUGGUCUUACCUAUUUGUUAUCUGGGAUGACCAGAUUCCUACCUAUUUUGUCCGUUCUAUUGUUCUGAUUAUCUAAUAACAAACUUUGGCCUGCAUAUAGGACAAUCUUCUCGGGGAAUUCGGUCCCUAACCCUUUGUAAUUGCCUUGAUACUGGGUAGCUUAGAUUGGAAAUCAUUUUUUUCACUCUAAUAGUUUUUGCAAUCUCAAUGUUGCUAUCAGACUUUAUCUGUUGAUCGAAGGGAAUGUAUCUGCUCAUUUCUUUGA